GAUGAACGCUGGCGGCGUGCCUAAUACAUGCAAGUCGAGCGAACAGAUGAGGAGCUUGCUCCUCUGACGUUAGCGACGGACGGGUGAGUAACACGUGGAUAACCUACCUAUAAGACUUGGAUAACUUCGGGAAACCGGAGCUAAUACCGGAUAAUAUAUUGGACCGCAUGGUUCAAUAGUGAAAGACGGGUUUUCUGUCACUUAUAGACGGAUCCGCGCCUCAUUAGCUAGUUGGUAAGGUAACGGCUUACCAAGGCGACGAUGCGUAGCCGACCUGAGAGGGUGAUCGGCCACACUGAAACUGAGACACGGUACAGACUCCUACGGGAGGCAGCAGCAGGGACGCUUGCGAGAUGGGCGAAAGCCUGACGGAGCAACGCCGCGUGAGUGAUGAAGGUCUUCGGAUCGUAAAACUCUGUUAUUGGGGAAGACCAAAUGUGUAAGUAACUAUGCACGUCUUGACGGUACCUAAUCAGAAAGCCACGGCUAACUACGUG
rnacentral:rRNA from 1 species